GGGCAUAUGGUGUAGUUGGUUUAUCACGCUCGCUUAGCAUGAAUCGGCAAAUAAUGAGUUAUCUGCGAGAGGUGUCCGGUUCAAUUCCGAACAUGUCCA